GAAUUUUGGACAAUGGGCGAAAGCCUGAUCCAGCAAUGCCGCGUGCAGGAUGAAGGCCUUCGGGGUGUAAACUGCUUUUGUACGGAACGAAAAGCUUUGGGUUCAUACCCUGGAGUCAUGACGGGACCGUAAGAAUAAGCACCGGCGCACGACGUGCCAGCAGCCCCGGUAAUACGUAGGGUUCAAGCGGUAAUCGGAAGUACUGGGCGUAAAGCGGGCGCAGGCGGUUUUGUAAGACAGAGGUGAAAUCCCCGGGCUCAACCUGGGAACUGCCUUUGUGACUGCAAGGCUAUAGUACGGCAGAGGGGGGUGGAAUUCCGCGUGUAGCAGUGAAAUGCGUAGAUAUGCGGAGGAACACCGAUGGCGAAGGCAACCCCCUGGGCCUGUACUGACGCUCAUGCACGAAAGCGUGGGGAGCAAACA
rnacentral:rRNA from 1 species